GGAGGCUACCUAAACCCAAACAUUGCAGCGACAAUCAAAGUUGGACCCCCUCCAUCUAGAAGACAUGGAAAAUUCCCAAGAGGCCAAGCCACCAAGCCAAUGGAAUUUUCAGAGAGUGGUAGCAUCUUUUGUGCUCUCAUCAUAGGGUGGGACGUACCUGGAAUUCUCCAGUUUCUGCUAUUCCUUCUUUAAACACCCCAGAGAAAUAAAGGUUCUCUCUUACACAGAUGGGGAGAUGUCCAAAUGCCUUCAGAAGUAAUUCUUCUCUGGUAGGGACAUGGGACAGGACCAGUUUAUUUAAUGUAGAAAUAGAAAAGAACCUAAAGAAGAAAUGGGGUUGGCAGGAUUUUUGCAGAAGGGACACUUAAGUAAAGAAGUAGUCUAAGUGCACAAAGAAUAAGCCCAUGAUGAGCAACAAUGGUUCCCAGGAAGAACUGUUUGGGGAGAAAACCUGAAAACCAAACUGAGAAGUAUUUGCAGCUGAGACCCACUGGAGUGAAUGAAGCAUAAUGAACAGUCCUAAAGAAAGCCCAGGAUUCUCACACCUGGCUCCCUGCUUCACUAGUGCUGUUGUCACUAAUGCAAUUCUCCCACCCCCACGGCCACCCCCUUCUAAACAAUAUCAAAUUCAAAACAAACAUUACAGUUAAAAUAUGCUUCAGGCUAA